ensembl:miRNA MIR548AG2 microRNA 548ag-2
UGCAAAGGUAAUUGUGGUUUCUGCCAUUGAAAGUAAAGGCAAGAACCUCAGUUACCUUUGCAGC